GUUAUCUGAGAUCCUUCUCAGGAGGUGGUUUGUUCUUUUCCCCUUUCAUGGAAGGCUCUUUCUAGUGAGGAGUGGGAUCCUGAUGUGAUGGGGCCUCGGUUGCCUGGUGGUUAGGAAGUGAGAGGAAUUUGAGAUUUCCUUCUCGGUGCUUGAAGCUGGCAACAUCAGAGAGCCUGCUUCGUCUGACCACCACCUGACACCCUUCACCUCUGACCAAAGAGCGUGCUGCUCUGAGGAUGCGUCUUUGUGAACGUACACCAUUCCUUUUUCUUUUUUUCUCUUCUGAGCCAUACUCUAAAUUCCUUUAGGGAACGAUCAGAUACUUUAUCCAUUUUUUAAGAAAAGUAAUCAAUAACUAAGACUACCAGAUAUGAACUGAAAGAAACCACAAACCCUGAACUACAAAAAAACUGUAUUCAUUUGUCAAAAAUGGAACUUCACCCAAAUUAACAUCUGCAAUAGGUUUGCUUGAACAGCCACAACUCAGCACUGGGCAAACAUCACAUGUUAAUUUUUGUUGUUGUUUUUACAUUUUUCCAACUAACCAUGAUCGAUUCUGCUUCUCGAGCCUGGGUAGAUCAGGGAAAAUGAAAAAUGUCAAGUUAAAGGUAUAAGUGUCUCUUCAUAUGACAGAAUUUUCAUAGCCAGGAACUUUCCAAUAUCUUCUGGUUAAAUCAAUUGCUUUUCUGGUGAUUUUUCAGUCGGUCAAAAAUGAAUUCCUCACUGUGGUAACCAUGUUUCAAGAUGGCCCCCAGUGAGCCUCAUUUCCUGGGAUUCGUACCCUUGCAGGAUCCCCUUCAUUGUGACACCAGGGCUGUUCUUUGUGACCAUUAGAAUAUGGCCGAAGUCAUGCUGUCAGACUUCUGGGGACAGUGCUGCUUCCACUUUGGUCUUUUGGAUCACCUUCUCUGGAGGAAGCCAGUCGUCAUGUCAUGAAGACACUUAAGCGGCCCAAAAAACUGCAAUUCCCUGUCAACAACCAGCACCAACUUGGAAGACAAUGAACCCUGAGGGAUGGGAACCAGCUGGUGGACAACUGCAACCUCAAGACACAAGGUCAGAAAGGCACAAGGUGUUCAGAAAGACCCGGAACGAGGAAACCACUUCAUAGUCUUCGUAUCAUUGAAACUGUGGGACAUAAAAAUUUGAAAGGGUUUGGAGUGAGUGAGGAAUGGUAAAUGCAACUUGUGCCUGUAGUGUAUUCUCAUUUAAGAACUGAUAAGUACCAGUGAUAGCCCAUUGAUUUAUUAUGCCAUCUUUAUUGUUUUUAGUUUUGGGGAAAAAAUCAUAUAAGGGUAAAAAUUAUAAAAGUUUUUAUAAGUUCA